GCACCCGUAGCUCAGUGGAUAGAGCACCGGACUUCUAAUCCGAUGGCCGCAGGUUCGAAUCCUGCCGGGUGCGCCA
rnacentral:tRNA from 11 species